UUCCCAAAAAUUCCCAGGAAUUCCCAGAAAUUCCAAAAAAAAAAAAUCCAGAAAAAUCCAGAAAAAAAUCCCAAAAAAAUCCCAAAAAAUUCACAAAAAUUCACAAAAAUUCCCAAAAUUCCCAACUUUCCCCAAGCUCUGGGAGAGGGGAGCCCUCCUCAGGGAACAGCUCCUGGAAAAUUCCUGGAAAAAAUUCCCAAAUAUUCCCAGAAAUUCCCAGAAAUUCUCAAAAAUCCAAAGAAAUUCACAAAAAAAUCCAGAAAAAUUCCCCAAAAUUCAAAAUCAUUCCAAGAAUCCCAGAAUUCCCAAACAUUCCAGGAGAGGGGAGCCCUCCUCAGGGAACAGCUCUGGAAAACAUUCCCAAAGAAUUCCCAAAAAAUUCCCAGAAAUUCCCCCCCCCCAAAAAAUCACAAAAAUCCAGAAAAAUCCAAAAAUUUUACAAAAAUCCAGAAAAAUUCAUAAAACUUCUUGAAAUUUCACAAAAUUCCCAAAAUUCCCAACAUUUCAGGAGCACAGAGCCAUCCUCAGGGAACAGAUCUGGAAAAUUCCUGGAAAACAUUCCCAAAAAUUCCCAAAAUUUCCCCCAAAUUCCCAAAGAUUCCCAAAAAAAUUCCCAAAAAAUCCAAAAAAAUUCCCAAAAAUUCCCAAAAUUCCAGGAAUGCGACACCCCCCUAAGGGAACAGGUCCCGAAAAACAUUCCCAAAAAUUCCCAAACAUUCCCAAAAAUCCCCAACAAUUCCCAAGAAUUCCCAAAAAUUCACAGAAAAUUUGCAAAAAUCCCCCAAAAUUCCUAAAAAAUCCCCCAAAAUUCCUAAAAAUUUCCAGGAAUUCCAGGAAUUUUUGGGAUCUGAUCCCAAAAAAGAAACCCCACGGAAUUCCAGGAAUUUUUUGUGGUUUGAUCCCAUCCAAUUCCAGAUUUUCCUGACUUUCUGAGAGGAAAUUCCACGGAAUUCCAGGAAUUUUUGGGGUUCAAUCCCAUCAAAUUCCCGUUUUUCCAAACUUCCAAAGAGAAAAUUCCGGGAAUUUUUGGGAUCUGAUCCCAAAGAUGGAAUCCCACAGAAUUCCAGGAAUUUUUAGGAUCUCAUUCCACCUUUUCCAAACUUCUUAAGAGAGAAUUCCAAGGAAUUCCAGGAAUUUUUGGGGUCUGAUCCCAAAGAUGGAAUCCCACAGAAUUCCAGGAUUUUUUUAUGGUUUGAUCCCAUCCAAUUCCAGAUUUUCCCGACUUUCUGAGAGAAAAUUCCACAGAAUUCCUGGAAUUUUUAGGAGUCCAUUCCACCUUUUCCAAACUUCCAAAGAGAAAAUUCUGGGAAUUUUUGGGAUCCCACCCCAAAGAUGGAAUCCCACAGAAUUCCAGGAAUUUUUGAGGUUCAAUCCCAUCAAAUUCCAGCUUUUCCAAACUUCCAAAGAGGAAAUUCAGGGAAUUUUUGGGAUCUGAUCCCAAAGAUGGAAUUCCACGGAAUUCCAGGAAUUUUUGGGGGGGUUCAAUCCCAUCAAAUUCCAGCUUUUCCCAACUUUCCGAGAGAAAAUUCCACAGAAUUCCUGGAAUUUUUAGGAUUCCAUUCCACCUUUUCCAAACUUCCAAAGAGAAAAUUCUGGGAAUUUUUGGGAUCUGAUCCCA